rnacentral:rRNA from 1 species
UACGUAGGAUGCUAGCGUUGUCCGGAUUUACUGGGCGUAAAGCGCGCGCAGGCGGCACUGUAAGUAAGGUGUGAAAUAUCCCUGCUCAACGGGGAGGGUGCACUUUAGACUGCAGAGCUAGAGGACGGUAGAGGGGGGUGGAAUUGCCUGGGUGUAGCGGUGAAAUGCGUAGAGAUCAGCAGGAACACCCGUGGCGAAGGCGGCCCCCUGGGCCGAACCUGACGCUGAGGCGCGAAGGCUAGGGGAGCGAACGGG